rnacentral:rRNA from 1 species
AAGUGUCCUCUGCUCGUGCUUGAUUCUCCUACCUCCGACCAGAACAGUCGCAGGGGCGUGCAUGUGUUGCUUCUGGACCAUGGACACGGCGCCGGUCUGCCUCGACCUCAUGGUCGGCCGUCCCAUGGACCGCGAGCCGUCUCUGGCGAGGUGCACCGGAAGCAGAACCGAAGCCGGCAUUGCUAGCUCGGCCUGUAGCAGAGCACCUUCCAUGACCAACGACGAGGCUAAGAUCCUGGAGGCGAAGCUGACGCAGGUGAGCGAGGAGAACCGGAGGCUCACGGAGAUGAUCGCCUACCUUUACGGCAACAAGGUCGCGCGCCAGAGCCCCGACGGCGAGGGCCAGCAGCCCGCCAGCACGGCCGGGUCGCCCACGCCGCCGGCGGGGAGAAAGAGGAGCCGGGACAGCAUGGACGCCUCGCAUUCUUGCGAUGUGGAAAUUAGCAACAGGAACGUAGGCACGGGCGAGGCCGAGCAUGUCGAUGUGGACAGCCCGCUGAGCAACGGCACUUGCCGGAGAAUCAAGGUCAAGAAGGUCUGCACCAGGAUCGACCCAUCGGACACGAGCCUCGUGGUGAAAGAUGGGUAUCAAUGGCGGAAGUACGGGCAGAAGGUGACACGGGACAACCCGUCCCCAAGGGCCUACUUCCGAUGCGCCUUCGCGCCUUCCUGCCCUGUCAAGAAGAAGGUGCAGAGGAGCGCGGAGGACAGCUCGGUGGUGGAGGCGACGUACGAGGGCGAGCACAACCACCCGCGCCCCACGCGGGCCGGCGAGCUGCCGGGCUGCACCACGCAGGGCGGCGGCUCGGUGCCGUGCUCCAUCUCCAUCAACUCCUCCGGCCCGACCAUCACGCUGGACCUCACCAAGAACGGGGGAGGCGUGCAGGUCUUGGAUGCGGGGGAGGCGCAGCCGGACAUGAAGAAGGUGUGCCGGGAGGUCGCGUCGCCAGAAUUCCAGAGGGCGUUGGUGGAGCAGAUGGCCCGCGAGCUCACCGGCGACCAAAAGUUCACCGACGCACUCGCCGCGGCGAUCCUGCGGAAGCUGCCGGAUUAUUAGCAUAACUAAUUAUAGAGACUACGCGAACUUCAGAAACUUCCUAAUUUUGUAGCAUUUGGAACACUAAAGGCUGACGUAGUACAAAAUUUCAUCUAGUACAACAUUGAAUUCGAUUACAGACAUUUUUACAAUAUAUUAAAACCCAUAGGCCAUGGCUGAUCACAAGCUCAUCGGCUUACGGGUAGACACUAAAUUCCAAUAAAAUAGCAAAAAAAUCUAAAAUUUUCAUACAUCAAAGAUGAACAAAUUUUCUAUGCGCGUGCAAAACUGAAUGACAAUAUGACAUUGGGGAGCUUGGGGCAGAAAAAACAAAAUCGGUCCUUCAAAAUAAAAAAAUUGAACAUUUCUUAAGACUUUGAUUUAUUUUUGUCGAGAGCUCUUGUGAUGUCAUAUCGCCAUGAAGUUUCGCACACCUAGAACUUGUGCACCAUUGGUGCCAAAAAACAAUAUAUUUUUUGCUGUAUUUUUUCAUUUUAUUGUUCAUCCACAGAAGCAGAUGCUCUUGUGCACCGAAACGCCAUAUUCAACAUCAAAAUAUCACAUCUUCUAAUAGUAAUUCCAAGAGUAACUCUAGUAGAGUCGAUAACACCCCCUUCGUACAUAAUGACCAUCGCCGAUACGAAGACUAGACGGGUAAAAAAACACUCGGAAAUUUUUUCCAGCCCGCUCCCUUCGUUUCAUGUCACCCUUGUUUCUCACCGCCCGCGGCUAUAAAGACUUGGCCACGACACGUCUUAGGGCACAUCGUUUCCUCCCCACCUCGUCCCUAAAUUCAACGCUAACGUAACCCAUCCUUGCCACGCCAUGGACUAGUUGAGCCGCCUCGUGUCGUCACAGGUGGCGUUGGCCGGCGGUGCUUCAUUCUCCCACAUCACCAUAGCCUCAUCCUUGGGACCCACGCCGAUGGGUGGCUGUCCUCCCCCCUUGUCCUUGGAGUUUAGAGAACUUGUGAUUUAGUAGUCCAUGUCCUCAACUCUAACAUAUUGGAUUUUGAGGCUGACUUUGACUCCGGCAUUAUCGAGCUCAACCCCUUCCCAU